rnacentral:rRNA from 1 species
GACGAACGCUGGCGGCGUGCCUAAUACAUGCAAGUAGAACGCUGAAGGAGGAGCUUGCUUCUCUGGAUGAGUUGCGAACGGGUGAGUAACGCGUAGGUAACCUGCCUGGUAGUGGGGGAUAACUAUUGGAAACGAUAGCUAAUACCGCAUAAUAGCAGUUGUUGCAUGAUAACUGUUUGAAAGGUGCAAUUGCACCGCUACCAGAUGGACCUGCGUUGUAUUAGCUAGUUGGUGGGGUAACGGCUCACCAAGGCGACGAUACAUAGCCGACCUGAGAGGGUGAUCGGCCACGCUGGGACUGGGACACGGCCCAGACUCCUACGGGAGGCAGCCGUAGGGAAUCUUCGGCAAUGGACGGAAGUCUGACCGAGCCACGCCGCGUGAGUGAAGAAGGUUUUCGGAUCGUAAAGCUCUGUUGUAAGAGAAGAACGAGUGUGAGAGUGGAAAGUUCACACUGUGACGGUAUCUUACCAGAAAGGGACGGCUAACUACGUG